rnacentral:rRNA from 1 species
UGGGGAAUAUUGGACAAUGGGCGCAAGCCUGAUCCAGCGAUGCCGCGUGUGUGAAGAAGGCCUGCGGGUUGUAAAGCACUUUUUAGCGAGGACGAGGUUUUAGGGGGUUAAUAGGUCUCUAAGAUGACGGUACUCGCAGAAAAAGCACCGGCUAACUCUGUGCCAGCAGCCGCGGUAAUACAGAGGGUGCAAGCGUUAAUCGGAAUGACUGGGCGUAAAGAGUGCGUAGGUGGUUAUGUAAGUCGGAUGUGAAAUACCUGGGCUUAACCUGGGGAUGUCAUACGAUACUGUAUAGCUAGAGUAUGGGAGAGGGAAGUGGAAUUGCGAGUGUAGAGGUGAAAUUCGUAGAUAUUCGCAGGAACACCAGUGGCGAAGGCGACUUGCUGGACUUAUGGUGACGCUGAGACGCGAAAGCGUGGGGAGCAAACAGGAUUAGAUACCCCCGUAGUCCCUGAGCGGGCUGGCAAGGCGCAU